UGGAAAAGAACAAGGAUAUGAACAUUUUUGUAGAAAAGAUGAUAUGUAUGGAAGAUGAUUAGGAGAUCUAACUUUCAUGAAUAUUGAAGUCAGUAGGAAAUGGGGUGGCUUAACCAAGAGCCCUGUAAGAUGAUUUUCCACCAAUUCCAAUGCCUUCCUCCAAGCAAAUACAUAAAGUCAAGAGGCCCUCGGGUGGAAGAGAACAGAAUUGAACACUGUUCU